UGUGUAACUGUCUUCCUUCAAUUCAGAUCACAAUUGAGGUCAUUUUAUUUGCUCAACUUUGAUUCUCUUCUGAUUCUAAGCUACACCUUUUUUCUCUAUCCAGUACAAUGGAAAUACGAAAGUGAGAUUUACAGGUUUUACUGUUUUAAAUUAACAAUCAAUCAAUUGAAAUAUUUACUUGACCGCCAUACUUAUUAAAUUUUUGAUUGCCUGAUUUUUUAGUUGCUGAAUAAAAUCAACACAAGAAAAUCAAUAGCAGUUGUUGAGAGUCAAGAUAAAGAUGGAGAUAUAUCAUAGCAUUCAGUUCAAGUUAGAUAACAAAAUUAUUUAAAACCAUUGAAAUCAUGGUGAUAAUUAGGUGAGUUGAGUUAACACAAGUAUGCAAAAAGAGAUGAAGAUAUCAGCAAUUAAUAUUCACAAAAGAUUCAAAUUGAUGGGUUUAUCCAUUGAAAAGCACAUCACAAAAAGAAACGAUGAUUUACAUUCAAAAAAUAGAGGCACGCAAUGUUGUAAAUAUAAUAGUUAUAAAUAUAUUUCAUGGUGAUGAUUGACUUGAUGAUCAGUGUGAUGAUAUAAAGAAAAAAAAUGUAUACAAUGAUUACUAUCCUUUCAAUCAUAAAUUAACCAUAUGAUUGAGAUAUGUCCAGUUGAAAGAGAAGCGUAUAUAAACAGGGAACAGUAAGAAAAAGGAGAAAUCAAGUUGACUGAUAAAUUGGUUUUCAUUGUUGGUUAUCAUCAGAAGGUCAAUUACUCAUUGGGACAUGAAUGAUUUGGGAAGCAUUUUUUUGUCUAUUGAUCAGCUCCUCAUCGUUUGCUUGUUGAUAAUAAUGGUCACUUGUUGAAGCCUUUUGUUACAUUUUUCAUGUUUAUUGUUGCAAGACUCAUUUUUUCAAUCAACUGUCAUUCAAUUGCAUCAUUAUUAUAAACUGAUAUACGGGAUACAGCAAGUGAAGCACAAUUAUUUUCAACAAACUGUAGUCUAUCACACCGUUUCCAAACCGUUUACUUAGGAUUGUUUACCGCAAUUAUCUCAUCAGUUGAAAAAUAAGACUCUGGAUAUUUCCAUACUUAGUCAACGGUUAAAAUAAAAGAUGAAAUCUAAAGAUAAGAAAUUUUCUUUUCUAAAAUUAACUGUUAUCAACAAAGGCUAAUGACGAUAAUGAUGAUGACCUAUGAAUUGUUCAGUUAAAAUCUGUUAACAAUGGUUUUAGCUGAAAACCGAAAAAUCGGUUUAAUUUGUUUUUUUAUCUAACAGUUGGAAACGCUAUUAGUUUUUAAGACAUAAUCUUUCUCAUUGUGCUCUUGUGUCUUCGACUUGAAAUUUGUGUUUCUCAAGUAAAUAAUCUGAAAUUGAUUUUUUUUUCUAUUAAUAAUUUUAUUUAAUUUUAGUCAAUUGUUAACUUUAUUGUGCCUAUUGAUUGGAUUUAAAGAAGCAAAUGUGAGGCCAAAGUGUACCCGUUUUGAGAAAACCUUUUAAUUUGGAAAUGAUUAACUUUCAUUUUAUACCCUUGAAGAUGAUCUUGUCAAGUGUAUCUUACCAAUAAUUUGCUUUCCCUGAUCCUUUCUUCGUUAUCCUGUAUUUCCUCAAUAUCAUCACGAUAAGUGUCUAAUGUUAAUUUGAUUGUGUCCAUCAAUAAAUCUUAAUUCAAUCUUCAAGUUUAAAGAAGUCAAUGCAAAAAAAAGAGAAAGUGUCGAUUGUCCUGAAAGAUUGGCCUCUGAUUGUUGAUAGGAAAGUCCAUAAAAACAACGGAAUCACAACGGAGAAGGAAGGAAGCAACGUUUAAUAUCAAUUAUGUCAACAGUGAAGCUAACCAAUUAUGUUCAUAAUACUGUCAUCACAGAAUUAAAACAAUGAAAUGGAUGAAAAGAAAUAAAUCAUAAUAGCUGAUUCAAGUAAUCUUUAUCUCAAUGAUAUUGUACUCUUGAUACGUGCUAAUGGUCAUUAUUGGUGUUAAUUGUAAUAUAAUGUAAACACUGAAGUAGAAAGAAUUGUGCAAACGACUCUGAAACUUGGCAAAUCAUGGAAAGUGCUAGUGAAAGGUCAAGAAGAAGAGCCGACAAGAAGAAGAAAAAAGCAAAGCUGAAAAUGGGCGCAAAUGUUGGCUCAUUUUCAAAUAUUCAACCAGUGGGGAGUCGAAAUGAAAAAUAUUGGUUUGUGAUUGAUGACCGAUUACCGUUUUUAAGGAUACUUCAAGUAAAUCAAGGUAUUUCAGUGGGAACCAUAAAAUGUCAAGUUCGAUGGAUUAAAUGCAUGUACAUAUUUGUUCGAAGAUCAGAAUGAAAAAUUGGUUCAUUUCUCACCCUUUGCUUAGCCAAGUUUGUAUUUAUCUAACUACGGUUCGAGGUUAAUGUUACAAUGAAAAAAUACAAAGCAUCAACAAUAUUGCUGGAAAUGAAGUUGAAAAUCGAAUCGUCUACUUUUCAUUAAAUUUGUUCUCAAGCUGCAAUAUCUAAUUAUACUAAUGCAGAAAGCAACGGAAAAAAAUUUGAUUACGACUAAAGGAAAUAAAGAUUCUGGCUCGUUGAUUGUGACAACAAUUAGGCAAUUACCAUUCCCUAUGAAACAAGUGAGUUUCACCUCUACCCUUUUACAUUUUCAUAAAUCAUAACUCAAAUGACCUUUUAGUCCAGAUGUCCAGUUUAUACUUAUUAGCUGGGAAACGACUGUUUUUUGGAGGCUAUGAGAAAAGAGAAAUGCCGUUUAUAACACUCAGGCCAUCAUAAUGAUUCAACUUUAAACACAGAAAGGCCAAACCAUUUCUCAUUUGAAUUGUCCAAACAAGACUCAAAAUUGGUCAACCUUUAUCCAAUCGUAACUGUCGAACUGGAAGACUUAACUCACGAAGAUGAUGGAACCAUUUAAUUAUGAAUCUUUACCAAUUAUAAGUAACCAAUAAUUUUGGAGCAAAUUCAAUUCAAUUUACCCAUUUACGUGCUCAAAGUAAUAUUGCCAACCAUGGAUUGAUUAAACUGUAUUCAGCACUUUCAUCAUUUGGUGUCAAACUUGGCUCUGAUAAUUAUAUUAAUUAGCGUACAAUCAUUCAAAUUGUCCACUAUUUAGCUUAAAGGUUAGGUGACAAUAAGGACAGCACAAAAUGUAACACUGAAGGAAUGAUUUUAAAAUUUGAAAUGAAUCUUGGUUACUCUUAUUAUUUAAGCUAAAUUAAUUCACAAUUGGCCUCAUAAGACAAGAAAAGAGCUCAAACUGAAGUCCAAUAAGCACCCACGAAUCAGGUUCAUCAUAACUUGCUUGUAAAACAUUUGAUUAUUGCUAUCUCCUUGAUUGAUUGGACCAUAAAGGCUUGUUGUUGGAAGCAGAUUUAUUUUUAAAGCCAUUGUAUAACUCAAGAUUGCUCAUCCUUUUUACUCGUCUCCUCAGUUUCCCUGGUCAGAUGAUAUUGUAAUUGUUCAUGAUUCAGUUAAAUGGAUAAAUUACGUGUAAUUUGGUCAACAACAUUGUUUAUCCUGUUGAUACACUUGAAGUCAAUGAUGAUGAUUCAAGUUGACGGAGCAACAUGAAAAUCAAACCAUGGUUAAUUAUCAAGUGUAGUAUACCCGUUCAAUCAGAUUUGUAGCUUGUUAAAUAAGUUAAUUUAUACUUUUACCAAGGUGCAUAUUUAAAAGAUCUGAUUUAUUGCGUGUUGAACAAUCAAAAACAGCAACGUUUGUCAUCAAAUUAACUGAAAAAAAAGCCAUACAAGCACUGCAACUCUACUGAUCCUCCUUCAUCAACAAUAUGCUAUCCUCAAACGGCUUUUAUUACAACAAUCGUUUAAAAAACAUUCUACCUGGUCUAUCAUUAUCAUCAUUAUUACUAGCUGGUAUAUAUGAUUACAAUUGUGAACCUGGUUCAAUUGGAUGUUCAAAUAACCGACACUAAAACCUAACCUUUACUGGUUGGCAAAGUAAAAUUUGAUUGCUAAAAAAACCUGUGAACAAGAUAAACUCAACAUUAUUCUAAUUUGCUUCCGCCUGAUGUCUCAGACAAUGAAAUUGCGUUCAAUGGGUUGAUCAGGGAAAAAGUCAAAAAUUCAAAACCCCAAUUCAAAAUAUGGAUCAAAAGGAUGAUCAUCAUGAAAGCUUGACAUUAACACUACAAUAACUGUUGCAUUGAUGUGAUAUUUUAACAAUUUUGUAAUUUUUAAUCUAUUAUAUGCAUCAAUUUGACGUAAUCAACACACUCCUGAAGUGAUGCCUGUUGUUUAAUCACAAUCAAUGUUUCAUUUACACAUUGUUGGCAAAUAUUUAAAUGAAAAUCUUGAUAAUGACGAUUGUAUAAUAUCAUGAGAAAGAUCUGUGCAAACGCUACAACCGCAAUUGACAAGAAAAUGAAGCAAAAUUUAAUGAAUUUGAUAUUCAACUUAUCAACUUGAAGCUCAAACGAAAGCGUAUCAGGACAGGAGUAGAAAUUUUACUAUCCAUUGUUGGUUUACAUUCAAGAACACAAUUGGUAUCAAUUUGGUUUACCAUUUAAAGUAAAAGGUCAACUCUUCGAUAUGAUAGUUUCUGUUGACACUUUUCAACUUGAAUUUAUGUGUAAGCUGAUUGUAUCGAAUGGAUGACAAAGCUGGUGAAAACACAUGAAAUUUCCAACAUCUUACCAAUACUGUUAAUAUUUGGGUUGGACUUGUACAUAACAAUCUGGUUUAUUCAUAUUCAUGCUGAAAUUGAUCAUCGUCAUCAUCAACUUUUGUUCACUUGUCAACAUUUGAAUGGAAUGCUUUUACUUUGGUCAAUUGUGUUGUCAACUUUUCUUUAAAAAGGUUGAAGAAGGAAAAGUUGAGAAAAGGAAAGGAAAACAUUAUUUCUUCCGGUCAUUCCUUGGGAAGAAAUGUAUCUCUUCACACCCUUCCGGAUAGUCGGAUAAUGUUUAAGGAUAGUUUACCUGAGUAAAGAUUCGUGCUAUGCUUACUAAAAGCAUACAAUUGUGAAGCUGAUUAGUGCAAUUUCUGUGCGUAUUGUCACAACUGGACCAAUGAAACUGGACGAUGAGAGAGUGAAAGUCUUUAAAUUGUUUCAAGUUUCUCUUUGUGUGAAUAAGAAAUGAAAAUGAAUCUCAAAUGUAAAGACAAAAACAAUGUUGGAAUCAAAGAUUACAAUCAAAACAAGCUUCCACUCGCAAUAUGAUUAUCAUUUAAUUGAAACAAGUUGAUGUUUAAAAAAAGCAGCUGACAAAGCAAAGCUAAAGAAAGAGUUGGUUACUUUGAUUGGAAUAGCUGAAUCCAGUUAGUUAUCAUGAUAAUAAACAACAAGAAUCAAAUGAAUAAGAUUUAAAACCAAUUAACUUGCAACCACAACAAGCCAAAACAAACAGUCAAAUGAACGAAAGAUGAUGAUCUAAAUCAUUUGCUUCUUAAUUGAAUAACUGGACAAUUAAACAAUAAAGAGGAUCAUCAACUGGCCAGUCUUAAAUAAACCUGCAGCGAUCAAAUUGAAAGCUUCAUCUUUUUUGUUUCCAAUUCAAUUUUAAACGUUAAAUCAAUCGAAAGGUGAUCCAUUAAACAGUUGAAAAUGUUUAAUGUAAAAUCAUCAAUUUGUCUGGCAAAUCAGUUGGAAAGGCUCAACACUUGGGUAAUUAAAAUUACGCAGAAAGCAAAUUUAGAUUCAAUUAGUGAACCUUUAAAGACACUUAAUCUAUUUAAAGAGAGCUUGACCUUACUUCGGACCAAAGCAAAAUACCUUUAAUCGUAGAUAGCCUUUUGGAUACAACAAUCAAGCCUUUUUUUCAAUCAAGGCCAAUUAGUAGGACAACAAAAGAGACUUGAAAUUACGCGUUUUUUUCUCGUUAAAUUGUAUUUAUGUGACAAAAUAUUAAAGUUAAUUAUUUUAAUGUUAACAAAAAGGUUGCAACUGAAACACAAAGUUGCAUGUUUAUCAUGCUCAUCAUUCAUUCACUUCCUCCUGUUAGCCUUGUUUCCAGUUCUCAUCAUCACCAACAUCAUGUAUUCAGCCAUUUUUUGUCACCAUUUAUGAAUCUUCCAAAAAAAACAAUCUUAAUUUAACUCAAAACCAUUUUGUUUUGUUUUUCAUUGCGUUUUCAAAGCUAAAAUUGUUUUGCCGUUUCUGUAUCCCAAUUAACAUUAAUUAACAGCCUGUCCAUAUUAGCAUGCCUAUUAUAAUCAUAUUUUUUUACUAUUUGAUAUAAACAAUUGAAAACUAAAUUUAGUUUCUAUCAUCACUGGCGUCAUUUUGUUUAAUAAUGAGAUUCUAAUGGCAAUAAAACAUUGUUGACUUUUCA